UAGUCAGGCGGCACGUGACUGGAGCAUCGCUCUCGAGCUUUCGCCUCCCGGCCCACUACACGGUAACUGUCCGUAUAGAUAAUGAUGUUUUUACCGUCUGUACCCUCAUCAUCUAUUACAACUUUUUUUUGUUUGCCCUUGACUACAAUCUCACCUGAUGGUAAGUGAUGUAAUCUAAGAUGUAAGCGGGCUAACUUGUUAAGAGUAGGAUGAAAAUCCACACCCCUUUCGGUUUCUACACGACAUCGUACCAGAACGCUAAAUCGCUCGGCAGAACGUCCUUGCCGAUAGGCUGUUAACUAGCCACGGCCGGAAGCUUAUCAUCCAACCAAACUUAAUAUUUUAAAAUUAUAAAAUCCUAAACAGUCUUCAAUGUAAUCCGAUGACUUGUGUUGAACUCUUCACUGUAGCUAUCAAAGAGUCGACGAAUCAAGGUUUGUUGUAGGCGCAUAUUAUUUGGCACACAGCCAGAACCAUUGUUUACCCUCCACAUACAAGUGGGUAGGCAACUCUUACUGAAAGGGGAAACAAAUUUUCGCUUGCCAUUUUUACAAAAUUGUACAACAUUAAAUAACUGAUUUUUAGUGUUCCGUAAUCCCCUUAUACACAAGGAACCCUUAUAACCCUGCCUGUCCGUCCGUCCGUCCGCGGUUUAGCGGAAAUACUAUACUAUGCACAAAAAUUAAGGGAGCAGAAAAAAAAUCCAAAUUUUUGGGGGAUUUUCAACAGGCUGUAACUUAUACAAAAAUGGUCGUACAGCAAAAAAAAAAGCAAAUUGUAGCUCUAAGUGUUUAGUUUUUGGAUCUGAGUUUGAAAAUUUUUUUUUGAAAAUAUUUUUUGAGUAAUCAUAAGAAAACGACCGAAAAAAAAAUUUUCGAAAUUUUUUUGGGUUUUUUUUUUAAUCUACGGACGUGGAAAAAAAUUUUUCGACUCAACCUCCAUAUGGACCGGAUAGCUUGUUUAUUCAGAUUUAAUUUCGUUUUUUUUUAAUCUCGAUACGAGCAUUUCUCGCUGAGAUAUCGAUGUUUGAAUGGAAAAAGAUCAUUUUGUCCUGUACGACCAUUUUUGUAUAAGUUACAGCCUGUUGAAAAUCCCCCAAAAAUUUGGAUUUUUUUUCUGCUCCCUUAAUUUUUGUGCAUAGUAUAUUACUACUAGAAAGCUAUAAAUUAGCAUGAGUAGGUAUGUCAUCAUCAUCAUCACUAUCAACCCAUAUUCGGCUCACUGCUGAGCUCGAGUCCAAGAAUUAGAGGGGUUAGGCCAAUAGUCAACCACGCUGGCCCAAUGCGGAAUGGCAGACUUCACACACACAGAGAAUUGAAAAAAAUCUCUGGUAUGCAGGUUUCCUCACGAUGUUUCGCCUUCACCGUUUGAAACACGUGAUAUUUAAUUUCUUAAAAUGCACACAACUGAAAAGUUGGAGGUGCAUGCCCCGGACCGGAUUCGAACCCACACUCUCCGGAAUCUGAGGCAGAGGUUAUAUCUACUGGGCUAUCACGGCUCUUACUGCAAGAUCACAUUAUAAUAAUAAUAAUAAUAAUAAUAAUAAUUCAUUUAUUUAAAGUAACCAAGACUCAUUUUGUUAGUAAAAUUCUCUUAUAAGUAUGUUAAUUGUGUAUACCUAAACCUAAAAAUUAGUAAAUAACAAUAUUUCUUAUUAUCUAUGUUAGUUACUUAAAACCUAUUGUAUUUACGAGAACCAGUGCUAUGUCAUUCCAUUAGAAACGCCACAACAGUGGUUCACGUAGGUGCAGUCUAGUCUGCUGGCGAUUACUGCCAAAAUGCUGUUGGUACUGCCUCGCAGCCUUCGCACCAGGGAUCCGCAUCUUUUGCGCAUUGUUGCAUAAAAGCAAUCAACUCUUGCUUCCGCGAACAUCCCUGACGCGCUACAGUAACGAGGUAGCCCCAUAAUAGCCCUGAAUGCAUUAUUGUACUGGAUACGGAGAGCAUUGUACGAUCUUUGUGUAUAUUUUGCCCACAGGCUGCAUGUGUAAAAAAUAGUGCAAUAGGCCUUAAAUAAUGUUGUCUUAACUUGCUGUGAGCAGCGUGCAAACCUGCGUGCAAGCAUGUUAGCUCUAACUGACAAUGCUCUCCGCUCCCUUUCAAUAUCCGUGUCGUCCUUGAGGUCGGGGGUCAAAAAAUGUCCUAGAUAUUUAAAUUGGUGAACUUGUUUCAAAAUUGUCCCAUUUAGUACAAGCGAUGGAACGUUACUUGGUAACUUUCCCUCAGCCUCAAAGACCAUCACUUCGCUUUUCUUGGCAUUAUAAAUUAACCCGUGCCUUUCCACAUAAGCCUCACAUAUUGCCAACAGCUUACGCAGGCCACAAAGUGAUGCACUCAGCAGCACCAAGUAAGUAGUAUUGGUUAACAAUUUACCCAAGAAUGCAAGGUCUUUGUUCGCUCAGACUCACUAGUACUAAUAGAUUUUUAUCGAUCUACCCACGGCUUGACACUUUAGGGUCGUUGACGGAAGCGCGGGCGCCGCCGGCCCUUACGGUGGAAUUCAUAGUCGUAGUAGGGGGCCCCUAAGGGGAUUAUUCAGCCGCCAUGUGUCGAAUUCAACCCCUACGCGUUUCAUAGACAAAAGAAACCCCUCAUUUGACAGGAGCUGGCGGCUGACUGCUGAAUUACCGAUAUUUGUCAGCCAAACCAUCCCCUGGCAUUUUUUUUUGUUGUUAUUCGUGAUUUAUUUAUUAGAAAGUGGACGUUCGGAUCGUUAUAAGUGAAGUUAUAAACAGCGAGUUAUAUCAGUGCCCAAGAUAUAUAUUCGCAAUUGCGUAAACCCAGUAUAAUACUAUGGCGAUAUGGAAUGUACGAAAGAUUCUCAUAUUAGGCAUAAUAUGCCUCUGUUUGAUGAAGAAUGAACACAGAAGACCAAGAGAGGAAUACCAAUACCGCUAGUAUUAUACAUUCUAGCAGCACUUCGAUUCUAUGAAACGGGAUGUUAUCAGACUGUAUGUGCAUUCCAUCAAGCAUUCUAUGAAAUAACAGAAAUGCCAAAAGUCAAGCUGUAUUGAUGGCACACAUAGGUAUACAUAUAAACAACCCCGGAGGACCCUAUGCACAUAUUUAAAGAAACCGGCUAUCAUGGCAGGGAAUAGCAGUGAUGAGCUCUGAGAAUACUGUUUUACCAAGAAUACUGAGAAUACUUUGGUCCUUGAAAAUCCGAGUUUUCAGAUCACAGUAAUUGGAAGACCCACAUACCUUGAAAAGUCAGCAGCAUUUAAUAUAGAGGUAGUAGGAGUGAGUGCAGUAUGUUGUAAGGUGGUCACUCACUCUGAAGUCCAUAACAAUAGAAAAUGUAUACAAAUCUUAAUUGAAUGAAAUUUAUUGAUUCACAUCUUUAAUAAAGAUAAUUAUUAAAUGUUUA